GUGAUCAUCGAAUCUUUGAACGCAAAUUGCACUCCCUGGUAUUCCGGGGAGUAUGCCUGUUUGAGGGUCGGUUUAUAUAAAAUCGACGUGUUGCUUGUUGCGUGACAUGUUGGAGUUGGGUGAUCUUGAUCCCCCCUUGGGUUUCAAGAGACCUGAAAUUGAUGUUCUCGCGCAUCUUUAGACGUGUAAGUCUUACCUCGUCUUUUAUGGAUGUCGUGCUAUCAUUUACUGGGUGUGGUCACGUUGUUGAGCUCACGCCCAUAAGAUUUCGAGUUUCGACCUCAAAUCAGGUAGGAGUACCCGCUGAACUUAAGCAUAUCAAUAAGCGGAGG
rnacentral:rRNA from 1 species